rnacentral:lncRNA from 1 species
UAGAACACUUUGAGUCUGCAUAGAACAUCCUGCAGGAGAAGGUGCCUGAUAAAUCCUACUGAGGUAUCAACAGAACAGACUAAAGGUUGUCACUUGAAGCCAUAGCUUUGUGGUCCCUGCGGAAGUGGAAGAGGCUCCAUUGAAGAUAUCCAUGAUCUGCGGACACAGAUGACAUUUGUAUUCAUGUCAUUACUCAGAGGACCACAUCCUUCGGCUUCCUUUUGGUGGGAUACAGUCUUCCAGAGGGGUCACUGGGACCCCUGCAGGAAUUAUGCUGCUCAAAAUCUCACUAAGGAGACAUUUCUAUUUUCAUUGCGUAUAAGGUUCAUUUUACAUGACUCGAAGGUGUCAGAAAGUGUCUACUGACAUCGGACACUGCGUCAACACUGCUUUUCUUGCCUCCAUUCGUCAUCAAAUUCUUUUACGAUAAAAACGUUUCACUUUCAUAAUAGUAAGUAGAAAUAAAUNNNNNNNNNNUCUCUCUCUCUCUCUCUCU